AAUGUUCUUUGUUUUGUCAUCUUUUGCUUGUAUUAUUUUUUUCUCUCAUCAUCUGAUUUUUUUUUUUUCCUACAGUUGCUACUCCAAGGAAUAAGCAUCACCUGUACACUCCACUGUGCUGUCUGCUCACUGCCACUAACAUCAGCAUAUUACACCAAUCUCUACCAGAGGCCUUCUUGUCUCCAGCUGCAACAGUGGUCCAGAGUUGGUUGGUUUUUAAUGUCCUGCAUCUUUGAGAAGGUGAGAUUUAAUUUUCGUGUUUGUUCUGUGUCAUUUGUUACAUACUAUCACUUGCAAGGUCGUCUUGUCCCAUUUCUGGCCCCAGAACAGUAAGACACUUCAACACAUCUUUGUCUUUAGUCGAUCAAGUAUUGCUAUUGUCUCUGGUAUUAUUUUGUUGCCUUCCUGUGAAAAAGUAUCUACUUCCUGGAUAAAAAAAAUUUGGUUUAUUUGUCAGAGUGGGUGACAUUCUGCCUUCCCCUUUCAAACAGAAAGUUUCUUGAAGGGUCUCUGCCACGUUUUACAGAAAGCAGGAAGUUAAAUACCUUUGUAAGAUGAGUUCAUUUCUACGUGGUCAGGUUUCUUCUCCGAGAAGGAAAACAGGUGUGUCGAACCUUAGAGAAACCAGAUUCAGAAUCUGACAAGAACUUUCUUUUCCUCUGCUUGCAGUAAUAAUCUCCAUCUCAUUAUCCACUGUAUUCUUUCACACUACAUGCUUGAUGUCCUUUGACUAAUUUCGUGUAAUUUUUUUCUUUUCUUUUAAACAUUUCAUCCCAAUUAUUACCUUGACAUUACAUUGAAAGUAGGGUUUACUAUGAGUUUUCAGGGGCAAACUUCACCAGUGUUUUCCAAGCUAGAGAUUUCCCCUGAACUUGUUUAAAUGCCAUACUCAGUCCUCUGUAAGAACUUUUUUAAAAAUGAAAGAAAAAUUCCUAUAUUCUAUAUUAUAAUAAUAUUAUAAUAUUCCUAUAUUAUUCUUCACUCUUUCUUAUGCCUUUUGGGCAUCAGCUGCUGCUAGCAGACUGUAGGAUGUGGAAAAGCAGUACAUAUGACUUCUAUACUGAUUCCUCAUUGCAAAUAUAAGGGUAAAAGGUUAAAUAAAUAAUUGUGAGAUUAAUUAAUUUACAAAGCCGAACAACCUCUGCAUCAUCUAAAGGUUGUUUUUUUCAUGAAACAUUUCAUGGUUCAAAGAUGUUAAGGCAAUGUUUCCCUCUUUCUUAUCUAUCCUAAAAUGGUAGAGCAUGAAGCAAUCCUAUUCUGAAUGAAGACAAUAUAAAAAAAAACACUUGCAUUUGUGGCAUAACCUUUUAGGAUAUUCUAUUAACUUUUGGGCUUUAAUUUAGCUUCACAGGCUGAUGAGAAAAAAAUUACUAGCUACACUAUUUUCCAGAUAAGUAGAGACAUGAAAGGGCAUAUACUAACAUUUACAAAUUCAAGUAUGGGUUAUGCAACAGAUAGCCUAUGUUAAGAUAUCUAGUUGCCUUGUAUUCCCAGUGUAGUUUUGCUAUUCAGUUCUGGUAGUGUUGCAGGUAUCUGUUCCAAAGCUGUAAAACUCUCUACAAAGUGCAAGGAAAGAAGAAACUGGCUCCAGAAGGAGAAGAAAAGAAUGCUCUUUUUCCACAUUAUACUUGUCUGAAUAAUAGUUCUGGUUCACUGAAGUAAUCUGAAAUUAAAAGUUCCCUACAAUAAUUAAUGUUUUGAUGCCACGGCAUUGUAUGUCCCGAUGACAUAAUGAUUAGUACCAGAUCCUAAUAAGCAACAAUUUGUUUAUUGUAUGUAUUGGACCAUUAAAACAUUUUAAAUGGGUAAAUAGGAUACCAGCUGUAUUUGUGAACCUCUUGGACAAAUUGUCACCAGGCUGUGGUGUAAUUGGUUCCCACUGCAACACUCGAACACCUGUAGGUGGUUCUGGUUAUGGAUCACAAAUGAAAAUACUCUAUUGAUUCAGGCACGUCUCCAGAAUUCAGAACUCUGAGAGAAUGUUGUGUCACUUUGAAUGAUAAAGAAUGCCAACUGUAUUUUGUUUCUGCAAGCUCUCCUUGCCAGGCUAUGAGUAAUACCACGUUGUACAUUCUGCAUUUUGUGUUCCAAAUUCCAUGCUCUGUGCUCAUUGUUCCAAGUCAUCAAUUCUGUACGUGAUGCAGGCAAAACAAUUUUUGCCUAGUUCUGUUACCUUUUUUUCUCUUCAAUGAUUCUCAGUUAACAGCACAAGUUAUUUUAUGAGGGCUGCUCCAAAAGUAAUGCCUCCUAUUUGUCGUUGGCUCACAACCUCAGAGGUGGAUAUUAAUGAUACGGCAGUAGACAAUGAACCUUCCUGCAAGUAUUCCAUUACAUUUUGUUGCCAUGUGACAGAUGGCAGCAGAGGGGCAGCCUGACAGAAUGGCAUCUGACACAGAAGUGCCUAUGAAGCAAAGGACUGCCACUGAAUUCCUCCGUGCAGAAAAAAAUUGCACCCGCAAACAGUUAUCGACUCUUGCUGAAUGAAGACCAAACAGUGGAUGUGAGAACAGUGAGGUGGUGGGUGGUGCAUUUCAGCAGUGGUGACACGGUAUAUCACCUCCACUCAUGCAGAUUUUUAUGAGUGUGGCAUGCAGGCCCUUGUUCAUCACUGGCAAAAAUGCAGAGCUAAUGGUGGUGACUGUCGAAAAUUGUGUUUGUAGCUGAGAAUGUGCUCUAUCUAUUAGUGUCAUUGUGCUCGUUGUAUCUGUUAUAGUUUCCAUGGAAGCCUUACUUUUGGAGCAAUUGAAACACAACCAGUUUUUAGUGUAGUUGGGAACUUUUUUUUUACCUAUGCCACAAUUCAAGCAUUGUAUUUGAUUCAGGAUAAAGUUGAGUAUUUAACAGCUUUGAAUCAGCAUUACUGCAAAGCUUAGCAUAAAACUUGUCCUAAGAGUAUCUUUGACAAUACACCAUCUGGGCUUCAGUAAACACAAAAGUGUAAGUAGCAUAAAUUAUUGUUUGAAAUUGCUGAAGUAAUUUUGUGCAUACUCUUUUUAAAUAAUUUGGUUGUAGACAUUCUAUCAGUUUAAAUGACAGUACAAAAAGUUUCAAAGCUACAUAGCAAACAAUU
ensembl:lncRNA